rnacentral:rRNA from 1 species
GACGAACGCUGGCGGCGUGCCUAACACAUGCAAGUCGAGCGGAGACAGUAGUAAUAUUGUCUUAGCGGCGGACGGGUGAGUAACGCGUGGGUAACCUGCCUUGAACAGGGGGAUAACACUGGGAAACUAGUGCUAAUACCGCAUAACACAUUCGUGUGGCAUCACAUGAAUGUCAAAGGAGAAAUACGGUUUGAGAUGGACCCGCGUCCGAUUAGCUAGUUGGUGGUGUAACGGACCACCAAGGCGACGAUCGGUAGCCGAACUGAGAGGUUGAUCGGCCACAUUGGGACUGAGACACGGCCCAGACUCCUACGGGUGGCAG